rnacentral:rRNA from 1 species
CAAGUCGACGGGAAUCUUCGGAUUCUAGUGGCGGACGGGUGAGUAACGCGUAAGAAUCUAACUUCAGGACGGGGACAACAGUUGGAAACGACUGCUAAUACCCGAUGUGCCGCAAGGUGAAACCUAAUUGGCCUGGAGAAGAGCUUGCGUCUGAUUAGCUAGUUGGUGGGGUAAGAGCCUACCAAGGCGACGAUCAGUAGCUGGUCUGAGAGGAUGAGCAGCCACACUGGGACUGAGACACGGCCCAGACUCCUACGGGAGGCAGCAGUGGGGAAUUUUCCGCAAUGGGCGAAAGCCUGACGGAGCAACGCCGCGUGAGGGAGGAAGGUCUUUGGAUUGUAAACCUCUUUUCUCAAGGAAGAAGUUCUGACGGUACUUGAGGAAUCAGCCUCGGCUAACUCCGUGCCAGCAGCCGCGGUAAUACGGGGGAGGCAAGCGUUAUCCGGAAUUAUUGGGCGUAAAGCGUCCGCAGGUGGUCAGCCAAGUCUGCCGUCAAAUCAGGUUGCUUAACGACCUAAAGGCGGUGGAAACUGGCAGACUAGAGAGCAGCAGGGGUAGCAGGAAUUCCCAGUGUAGCGGUGAAAUGCGUAGAGAUUGGGAAGAACAUCGGUGGCGAAAGCGUGCUACUGGGCUGUAUCUGACACUCAGGGACGAAAGCUAGGGGAGCGAAAGGGAUUAGAUACCCCUGUAGUCCUAGCCGUAAACGAUGGAUACUAGGCGUGGCUUGUAUCGACCCGAGCCGUGCCGAAGCUAACGCGUUAAGUAUCCCGCCUGGGGAGUACGCACGCAAGUGUGAAACUCAAAGGAAUUGACGG